CCUACGGGGGGCAGCAGUGGGGAAUAUUGCGCAAUGGGCGAAAGCCUGACGCAGCGACGCCGCGUGAGGGAUGAAGGUCUUCGGAUCGUAAACCUCUGUCAGCAGGGAAGAACGGUCACUGUGCUAAUCAGCAGUGCAUUGACGGUACCUGCAAAGGAAGCACCGGCUAACUCCGUGCCAGCAGCCGCGGUAAUACGGAGGGUGCGAGCGUUAAUCGGAAUUCCUGGGCGUAAAGCGCUCGUAGGCGGUAGGUCAAGUCAAGGGUGAAAUCCCCGCGCUCAACGUGGGAACUGCCUUGGAAGCUGGCAAACUGGAGUGUGUGAGAGGAUAGUGGAAUUCCAGGUGUAGGAGUGAAAUCCGUAGAUAUCUGGAGGAACAUCAGGGGCGAAGGCGACUAUCUGGCACAUAACUGACGCUGAGGAGCGAAAGCGUGGGUAGCAAACAGGAUUAGAUACCCCAGUAGUC
rnacentral:rRNA from 1 species